rnacentral:rRNA from 1 species
CCUACAGGAGGCAGCAGUGAGGAAUAUUGGUCAAUGGACGAGAGUCUGAACCAGCCAAGUAGCGUGAAGGAUGACUGCCCUAUGGGUUGUAAACUUCUUUUAUAUGGGAAUAAAACGUUCCACGUGUGGGAUUUUGUAUGUACCAUAUGAAUAAGGAGCGGCUAACUCCGUGCCAGCAGCCGCGGUAAUACGGAGGAUCCGAGCGUUAUCCGGAUUUAUUGGGUUUAAGGGAGCGUAGGUGGAUUGUUAAGUCAGUUGUGAAAGUUUGCGGCUCAACCGUAAAAUUGCAGUUGAAACUGGCAGUCUUGCGUACAGUAGAGGUGGGCGGAAUUCGUUGUGUCGCGGUGCACUGCUUAGCUAUCACGCAGAACUCCGAUUGCGACGGCAGUUCACUGGACUGCACCUGCCACUGAGGCUCGCCAGUGUGGGUAUCAAACAGGAUUAGCUACCCGAGUAGUC